AGGGAGAGAGAGAGAGACGAGUGUUAGUGAAGGCUAUCUGGCCGCUCACCAGAAAGUUCCUUGGACUCGCUUUGGCUAAGAAGCUGAUGGGAGGAGCAGAGUUUUCUCUCAAUCCAAGAUCUGUCCAUCCUAUGGUCUAAACACUCACCCAUCUCGCAGGUAUUUAAUGCAGGCCUACAGGAGCCAACUACUGCCCUGGGGAUAACCAGGGAGAGACCAAUAACCAAGGAGGAUGCAGUCUUCUCAAGCUUCUGGUGAUUCCUAAGAACAAAGCUUUGUCCUUCUAACAGGGCUUUGCUGCAAACACACAGUCCUCAUUUCCUACCCUUGUAAGCCCCUAAAUGGACUCGGCUCUGGGCUCCAUCCCUGAAAGGCUUCUCAGCCACUCUGUCCUUCCUCAGUGGCUCCUCUGCCCCCUCCUUGCCUAGGACCUCAGCCCUUCCUGCUGGGCCAACUCCAGUAGCUUCCUUCCUGGUCCCCCGGCUUCUCUGGUGACUGGCGUUCUCUCUCCAACACUGGGACGGGACAGUCAGGGCUCCCUGAGGUCUGACUCUCACCAAAUUCUCCAGGCAGGUCUUCUACCCCUCUCCCCGCAUCCCUCCCCUCCCGAGGCUCGUUUCCGCUCAAACACUGCUCUGGGCACCCUUCCACGCCUUUGCACACACCAUUUCCUUCACCUGGAAUACUCUUUCUCUACUUCCCCAUCCGAGGGACUGCUUUCCCUUCAAGAUCCAGUUUAAAUGUCAUCUUCUUCGUGCUAACACCCCUCCUCCUCCAAGCCCCCAGAGCCCUUGGUAAACUCCCAGAAACCAGCCAGAAGGAUCUAGAGGCAGAGCCGUGCCAGGGGUGGGUCUGCAGGACUGACGGAGGAGCAGACUGCACAGGGAGCUGCCUUUCAACUCCCUUCUCAUCAUCUUCACCUCUGCAGGGCCUGGCCACUCAGGUGGGAGAAAAACCCAGAUCUUCACAAAAAUCCAGGAGGCAAAAGAAGUGUUGCUAUUCCCAUCAUGCAGACGAGGGAAAGGUACAGAGUUCAUGGCACUUGCUCAUGGAAACAACACCAGAACUGGGUCAGGUGGGCCCCCCCCGCUUCUGUUCAACCACAGCGCUAGCCGGGGAGGCAGUGACCUCUCAUGGGCUGCCUCAGCCCAAGAGGUGUGCCCCGGCGUGUAUGCAGCGCAUUGAGAGGGUUCUGAGAUGGAUGGUGUAGGGUCCAGAACAUGUCACCCCAGAAAAGGCCACUUUGGCAUAUUGAUUAUUUUGAAUUAAAGGUUUUUGAGAAACAGCCGGAGCAGGAAGAACACUCUGACCCUCCCCUGACCCCCUGAAAGCAGGAGGUGAAUCUCCCAGGAGGGUAGAACGCCUGCGUGAGCAGGGACGGGAAUUCCUGCCAGAAAGGCUGUGUAAACAAACCGUAAGUGGUUACUUCUUUACCAUUUUACGAACCCCAGCCCAAACCCCUUUGUCUCGUGAAUUCUUCCCGAAUUUACUGUUUCUUUGUCUAAAAGAUACAACGCUUCCUGCUCUGGUCACCUCUUUGAGUCCCACAUCUUUGUGGGGUUCCUAGGUGUACACAUGUGGGUAUGAAAUUGUUUGUUUUUCUCCUGUUAAUCUGUUUUAUGUCAAUUUAAUUGCUAGACCAGCUACAGAACCUAGAAGGAAAGUCUUUCCUCCACUAGAGGGAGACGGAUGCAGGGCUGCCCUCACUCCCUAAGGACCUAUCGGCCAGAAGGCUUCUCCCGAGAGACACUUCACAGGCAAUCAUGAGAUGAGAGUGUUGGAGAUCUCACUUUGAAAUUAAGACUGAACUUGUGUAAUGUCAGCUAUGAUCUAUUCCCUAAAGCAAGAUGGUGUCAGUAAAGAGUCCAGGAAAAGGGGAGCUGAAGGAUAAACUCUGACUGGGAGAAGGGUGCUCUGUCUGAGCCCCCACGGGGCCGUGUGCCUAGGCCAGGUGGGCCUCUGUCCCCGCUGUCAGAGCCGCGGCACUCCGCCCUCCAGUGGGACGCAGCUCACCUCUUCGUUCACUCAGCAGACACUCGCCCAGGACCUGCUCAGUGCUGGAAGCUGCGUUCAGGCCAGGGGACUACGAAGGCUGCACCCUCAGUGCUCACACUCUAGUGCAGGGGACUGAUGGCGAAUGCCACGUCACCUGCAGAAACUGCUCUGGGCUGUCCGCCGGCGAGCUGGCCGGGCCUUGCAGCAGACCUGGGGGAGGGGCUAUCAGCUCUAGCACUAACUGGCCCCCAGUGACCCUGCACCUGGUGAGUUGGCUGUUUUUGCUGGUUCCUCGUGGCUUGUUGUCACUUCCCGGGGGCCAAGUUUCAGAGCUGACUUUUCUAAUCUCUGCUUCCAAUCCACUGUAAGCUGGGAAGAACUAAAAGUCACCAGUGGGAACAAAGCUAGCUGAGGUGCCCGGGUCUCUGCUUAGAUGUGGCCUUCCCAUGGAGUCUUCUCUGACCUCCGUCCUUAACAUCACACCCCCUAACCCCUUUCCCUGCUUCCUUUUCCUCCAAAGCACCUAGCAUUUAACAUGCUAAGUUUGGCUCUUUUUAAUUAGGUUAUCAUGUCACCAGGCAGAAUGUAAACUCCACGAAGGGAGGGCUUUUUGUCUGUUUCCUUCACCGCUGCGGUCCGAUGCACAGCAGGUCUCUGUAAGUCAGUGUUAAACAAAUGCACUUAGCAAGGCUGAACUUCACACAUAACAAAGGCACGUGCCACAGCGGAGAACGUGGGAUCUGACAUUGGACAGACCCGAGCUCGAAUCCCAUCCCCGCUCUUAGCAACAGGUACGCUUUGACAAGUCACCUCCCCUUCUGAAUACUAGUUUUCUCAUGUGUAAGGUGAGCAUCGUAAGCUGACCUGCAUCAUGAGAUUGCGGUGGAGUUCAAAUACACAGUGCACGUGAAGACACGGUGCAAAGUGUAAAGUGCUGUACACGAGUAACAUCCUCUUGGGGAACAGCUCUCCAGGAGAAGGAUGCUGCUCAAGAAGAGAGAAUGCAAAAGAGCCCAUGCCCCCUGGGUGUUCUCCCGGAACCCAGACCAGGAGCUGGGAAGCCUGGCCCGGAAUGGAAGGGGUGUGCCGGGAUGUGCACGCCAUGCCCUGUGACCUCCAAGAAAAAAGAGGGGAAAUCAAUGCAGGCAACAGAACUUUGAAAUGAGAGGUUCGAAUCUGAAGGCCCUUUUCACUGGUGCAUAAGGAUGUAAUGACAAAGAAAAGAAUCUUCCAAGAUAUAUUUUCCAUAAGAUUUCAAGAAUUGAAAAGAAUAGUAACAGUAAACUGCUGGUGGGAGUAUAAAUUGGCAUAAUCUUUUUGGGGGUCACUGUCAGUAAGCAUUGAACACUAUGGAAAGUGCCUAUCUUUUACUGAGAAUUUCCACUUCUGGCAAUUACCCUAAGGAAAUAAUUAAGGACGUGUGUGAAGACAUGUACAGAUUGUUCAAAUCAGCGUGGUUUACAAUUCCAAAAAGUUGGACUAACUCGAAUCUGUCCAGUAAUAACAGAUUAGUGACACCAUGAUCCACAUGUGGGGGCCUCCCUUCGAGGGAGCCCCGAGCGGCCACGGGCCCGGAGGAUGCAGCCACCCCCAGCCCUCCCUGCGCUUCAGACCCACCUGGGAGGUUCAAAGAAACGCAAAAUAUGAAAACCUGGCCCCACCUGAGGGAGCUGGAUUCAUUUGGCUUGGAGAGGAGCACUGGGGUCUUUUUGCUGGUUUUUUUUGCUCCAUGGGGCGACCUUACAGGUAUGCCAUUUUGUCCCCAUGUGACUACAGUCGCUUCUCCUUAUUCACGAAUUCUGUAUCUGUGAACUCGCCUACUUGCUAAAAUUUAUUUGCAACCCCAAAAUCAACACUCGCAAUGCUUUCAUGGUCAUUUUCUGACACACCCGGAGCACUGAAAAAUUUGAGUCCCGCUACGUGCACAUGCCCAGCUGAGGCGGAACAAGGCUCUGCCUUCUUGUUUCAGCUCCUACUGUAAAUAAGUGUCCUUUUUGUGGUCUAUUAAGUGCCACUUUUUUCACAUUUUUGGGCCUUGUGUUGGUGAUUUUGCUGUUUAAAAUGGCCCCACUGUGGUGCCAAAGCGCUGCCCAGUGUUCCUACGCUGUGAUGUGCCUGACGGAGAAAAUACGUGUGUGAGACGAACUUUGCUCAGGCAUCAGGUAUACUGCUGCUGGCAGCGAGCUUAACAUUAACGAAUCAACAAGAUAUAUUAAAUAAGGUGUCUUCAAACAGAAACGCACAGAAAACAAAGUUAUGUAUUGAUCAGCUGACAAAAAUGUCAACCUGCGAGAGGCCGGCGGGAACCUCACCCUGUCUCUGCGCUGGGAGCCAUGGGUCAGGGUACACGAAUUCACGGUCACAGCGCCUUUAUAAAGCAAAAUGACCACGGACAACGAGAGUCAACUAUGCAUCCUUAGGAGUAACUCCCAAAGUGGGACCACUGGGUCAGAACAAUUUCUAUGUCAACCAGCAGUGUUUGAGAACGCCCAUUUCCUCGAACGCUCGGCAACUUUUUAAUCUCCAAUCUCUUACAGGUGAAAAUGGCAUCUCACUGCAGAUCUAGUUUACAUUCCUUCACAAAGGAGCAAGACUGAGCAUCUUUUCUUAAGCCUAAGAACCACUUGUAUCUCCUUUUAUGAGAACUCUCUUUUGCCCAUUUUUCUUUUGGGUAGUGAGUCUUUUUCUCAUUAAUUGGCAUAUCAUUAUAUAUACUUCGUAUAUAAAAUCCUCCUUAUAUAUAAGGGAAUAAGCUUGUCGCCUGAGUUACAAUAUUUUUUGGCUUACUUUGUUGUUUGAUUUUUGGACUGUUAAAUAAUUUGUUAAAAGUUUUUCUUUUGUAGUUCCAGUUAUCAAUAUUUUCUUCUGUGGUUUCUGUGUUUUGCAUCAAACUGAAAAAGGCUUCUCCCACUCUGAGAUUAUAAAAUAAAUUCUACGCUGUCUUCUAGUA